UACGUAGGGGGCAAGCGUUGUCCGGAUUUAUUGGGCGUAAAGAGCGUGUAGGCGGCCAAGCAGGUCCGCUGUGAAAACUCGAGGCUCAACCUCGAGACGUCGGUGGAAACCGUUUGGCUAGAGUCCGGAAGAGGAGAGUGGAAUUCCCGGUGUAGCGGUGAAAUGCGCAGAUAUCGGGAAGAACACCCGUGGCGAAGGCGGCUCUCUGGGCCUUACCUGACGCUCAGGUGCGAAAGCUAGGGGAGCGAACAGG
rnacentral:rRNA from 1 species